UACAGAGGUCCCAAGCGUUGUUCGGAUUCACUGGGCGUAAAGGGUGCGUAGGUGGUGAGGUAAGUCGGAUGUGAAAUCUCCGAGCUCAACUCGGAAAUGGCAUUGGAAACUACCUUGCUAGAGGGUUGGAGGGGGGACUGGAAUACUUGGUGUAGCAGUGAAAUGCGUAGAUAUCGUAAGGAAGACCAGUGGCGAAGGCGGGUCUCUGGACAGUUCCUGACGCUGAGGCACGAAGGUCAGGGGAGCAAACGGG
rnacentral:rRNA from 1 species